rnacentral:rRNA from 1 species
AGUGAACGCUGGCGGUAGGCCUAACACAUGCAAGUCGAACGGCAGCACAGUAAGAGCUUGCUCUUACGGGUGGCGAGUGGCGGACGGGUGAGGAAUACAUCGGAAUCUACUUUUUCGUGGGGGAUAACGUAGGGAAACUUACGCUAAUACCGCAUACGACCUACGGGUGAAAGCAGGGGAUCUUCGGACCUUGCGCGAUUGAAUGAGCCGAUGUCGGAUUAGCUAGUUGGCGGGGUAAAGGCCCACCAAGGCGACGAUCCGUAGCUGGUCUGAGAGGAUGGUCCGGCCCACCUGGACUGAGACACCGUCCAGGCUCCCACGGGGAGGCACAGGGGGGGAUUUUUGACAAUGGGGCGAAGCCUGAUCCCACCCUACCCCGGGGGUUGAAAAAGGCUUCCGGGUUUAAAGGCCUUUUGUUGGGGAAAAAAAGCCGCCAGGUUAAUACCCCGUUUUUUGACCGUACCCCAAGGAUUAACCCCCGGUAACUUCCUG